rnacentral:misc_RNA from 1 species
UCUCCGUUGGUGAACCAGCGGAGGGAUCAUUACCGAGUUUACAACUCCCAAACCCAAUGUGAACCAUACCAAACUGUUGCCUCGGUGGGGUCACGCCCCGGGUGCGUCGCAGCCCCGGAACCAGGCGCCCGCCGGAGGGACCAACCAAACUCUUUCUGUAGUCCCCUCGCGGACGUUAUUUUUACAGCUCUGAGCAAAAAUUCAAAAUGAAUCAAAACUUUCAACAACGGAUCUCUUGGUUCUG